rnacentral:rRNA from 1 species
CUGAGAGGGCGACCGGCCACAUUGGGACUGAGACACGGCCACAACUCCUACGGGAGGCAGCAGUGGGGAAUAUUGCACAAUGGGGGAACCCUGAUGCAGCGACGCCGCGUGAGGGAAGAAGUAUUUCGGUAUGUAAAGCUCUAUCAGCAGGGAAGAUAAUGACGUACCUGACUAAGAAGCCCCGGCUCACUACGUGCCAGCAGCCGC